rnacentral:rRNA from 1 species
GUGAGUAACGCGUGGGUAACCUGCCUCAUACAGGGGGAUAACAGUUGGAAACGGCUGCUAAUACCGCAUAAGCGCACAGUACCGCAUGGUACGGUGUGAAAAACUCCGGUGGUAUGAGAUGGACCCGCGUCUGAUUAGGUAGUUGGUGGGGUAACGGCCUACCAAGCCGACGAUCAGUAGCCGACCUGAGAGGGUGACCGGCCACAUUGGGACUGAGACACGGCCCAAACUCC